AUCAAAUUGAAGAGCUUCUCCAUCUAUGCAAAUUUAUUUUACAUGGGUUUGUGGUAUAUUCCAUCUCUUGCACACUGGACAGCCGGCAGCCGUAGGAAGGUGGCAGCUGGUGUGCAUGAGAUGGAAUACGCCAUUGAACCCAUGUGCUUCCAUGAGAAACAGUACAUAGAACUUGGCAUAUAUAAUAUGGUCAUCGUUAUGGCUGUCUUGAUCUCUUCUAAAGAAAGAUCAAGUUUUGAUGUCCUUUAUGUGGUCAAUGUUGGGUUUGAUGGGUUGAGAGUUUUUAGAUUAUCCACUGGUCACGAAGCUGUCUAAGAUUAUAAGGGGAAAUGAAUUUAUGAUCACCAUCAAGCAAUUUCUUGGCAAUAAGAAGAUUGGCAGCUUCACUUGGAUGAUAAGGAUCCCAAAAGACAUGUCUUGAUCUCUCACUGCAUAAACUUGAUUGAGGUCCACAUGGUAUUAUUCCUGCAAAUUGCCCUCCAUUUCCACAACAUGCUCUACUUGCUGUCUUGAAUCCUAUCAUCAAUUAUAUAUAUAUAGUCUUUCAAUUUGUAUAUACACGAGACUUAAUGUAUAUAUACACACCACUAUAUCAUGAAAAGGUACGGAUUCCUAAGUAUUUGAGUUAUAUGCUAUGAUUGAAAUAUGUAUGAAGUGACAUAGUACUAACAUUAAGUUAGUUGAAUUAUGCACAUUUUAGCAAUAUCUUAUGAUGGUUAA